UACGUAGGGCGCAAGCGUUGUCCGGAAUUAUUGGGUCGUAAGAGCUCGUAGGCGGUCUGUCGCGAUCGGAUGUGAAAGCCCCGGGGCUUAACCCCGGGUCUGCAUUCGAUACGGGCAGACGUAGAGUGUGGUAGGGGAGAGUCGGAAUUCUGGUGUAGCGGUGAAAUGCGCAGAUAUCAGGAGGAACACCGGUGGCGAAGGCGGAUCUCUGGCCAUUACUGACGUGGAGGAGCGAAAGCGUGGGGAGCGAACAGG
rnacentral:rRNA from 1 species